rnacentral:rRNA from 1 species
CGCGGGGACUUUCUUUUUCUUGUAUGACAGUUUAUAUACCGUCGUUAUAAGAAUAUUUUAUAAGAAUUAUUAAUAUUCUAUAAUUAUUAUUUAAAUUUAUAUCAGAUCAAGGUGUAGCUAAUGAUAAAGAGUUGGUGGACUACAAUAAGUAAUUUAUUUAAACGAAUAUAUGAUUGAAAUUUUGUAUUGAAGGUGGAUUUGGAAGUAAAUUUGUGUAUAUUGUCAAAUUGAUAGAUUAUGAAUAUAAAUAAU